UCAGAAGAGGGCUAUCGUUGUUCGGAAUCACUGGGCGUAAAGAGCACGCAGGCGGAUCGAUAAGUCGGGGGUGAAAGACCGGGGCUCAACCUCGGAAUUGCCUUCGAUACUGUCGGUCUAGAGUCCGGGAGAGGUGAGUGGAAUUCCUAGUGUAGAGGUGAAAUUCGUAGAUAUUAGGAAGAACACCAGUGGCGAAGGCGGCUCACUGGCCCGGUACUGACGCUCAGGUGCGAAAGCGUGGGGAGUAAACAGG
rnacentral:rRNA from 1 species